rnacentral:rRNA from 1 species
CCCUUAGAUGUCCUGGGCUGCACGCGCGCUACACUGAUGUGUCCAGUAAGCACCUAACCUCUUCCGAAAGGAACGGGUAACCUUUGCAAAGCACAUCGUGAUGGGGAUAGAUUAUUGCAAUUAUUAGUCUUGAACGAGGAAUUCCUAGUAAGCACAAGUCAUCAGCUUGUGUUGAUUACGUCCCUGCCCUUUGUACACACCGCCCGUCGCUCCUACCGAUUGAAUGUUCCGGUGAGCUCUUCGGACUGCGCGGUCUGCAGUUUCUGCGUUCCGUGCGGAAAAUUGCGCAAACCUUAACAUUUAGAGGAAGGAGAAGUCGUAACA